UAAUACAUGCAAGUCGAACGAGAAAGNGGCUUCGGCCAUGAGUACAGUGGCAAACGGGUGAGUAAUACAUAGGUAACUUACUUCGAGUUGGGGAUAACCUUCCGAAAGGAGGGCUAAUACCGAAUAAGACCACACAUCCCUCGGGAAGAGGGGUUAAAGGUGACCUCUAUUUAUAAGUUAUCGCUCGAAGAUAGGCCUAUGCACCAUCAGCUAGUUGGUAAGGUAACGGCUUACCAAGGCUUUGACGGUUAGCUGAUCUGAGAGGUUGAUCAGCCACACUGGAACUGAGACACGGUCCAGACUCCUACGGGAGGCAGCAGUAGGGAAUAUUGCGCAAUGGAGGAAACUCUGACGCAGCGACGCCGCGUGGGUGAUGAAGGUCUUCGGAUCGUAAAGCCCUGUCGGAAGGGAAGAAAAACGAUAUGGCUAAUAUCCAUAUCGCUUGACGGUACCUUUAAAGGAAGCACCGGCUAACUACGUGCCAGCAGCCGCGGUAAUACGUAGGGUGCUAGCGUUGUUCGGAAUCAUUGGGCGUAAAGCGCGUGUAGGUGGUCAGUAAAGUCGGGUGUGAAAGCCCUCGGCUCAACCGGGGAAGUGCAUUCGAAACUAACUGGCUAGAAGAUGGUAGAGGGAGGUGGAAUUCCUAGUGUAGAGGUGAAAUUCGUAGAUAUUAGGAGGAAUACCGGAGGCGAAGGCGGCCUCCUGGGCCAUUCUUGACACUGAGACGCGAAAGCGUGGGUAGCAAACAGGAUUAGAUACCCUGGUAGUCCACGCCGUAAACGAUGGGCACUAGGUGUCGGGGGUAUCCACUCCCUCGGUGCCGCCGCUAACGCAUUAAGUGUCCCGCCUGGGAAGUACGGUCGCAAGAUUAAAACUCAAAUGAAUUGACGGGG
rnacentral:rRNA from 1 species